rnacentral:rRNA from 1 species
GAACGCAGCACGGCUGGUUCAUAUGAGUGGCGAACGGGUGAGUAAUGUAUCGGAACCGCUUAGUAGUGGGGAUAAUUCACGCGCGAAAGGUAGCUAAUACCGCAUACUACUCUCAAAAGUGGGGACCUUCGGGCCCGCACUGGUUAGAGUGGCCGAUAUCGGAUUAGCUAGUUGGUGGGCAAUUACCUGGCGGCGACGAACUGUAGCUGUCGAGAGGACGACCAGCCACACUGGGACUGGAGAUGUCCGGGACUCCCACGGAGCAGCAGUGGGGAAUUGGACAAUAAACCCUGAUCCAAUACUCCGCGUGUGCGAUGAAGGCCUUCGGUUGUAAAGCACUUUUUGGCAGGAAAGAAACGGCACGAUAAUACCCUGCAACUGAUUGGCACCUGCAGAAUAAGCACCCGGCUAACUACGUGCCAGCAGCCGCGGUAAUACGUAGGGUGCAAGCGUUAAUCGGAAUUACUGGGCGUAAAGCGUGCGCAGGCGGUUCGGGAAAGAAAGAUGUGAAAUCCCAGAGCUUAACUUUGAACCAUUUUUUAACUCACUGAGCUAGAGUGUGUCAGAGGAGGGAAUUCCGCGUAAAGAGCAGGCGUGGAUAUGCGGAGGAACACCGAUGGCAGAAGGCAGCCUCCCUGGGAUAACACUGACGCUCAUGCACGAAAGCGUGGGGAGCAAACAGGAUUAGAUACCCUGGUAGUCCACGCCCUAAACGAUGUCAACUAGCUGUUGGGGCCUUCGGGCUCUGGUAGCGCAGCUAACGCGUGAAGUUGACCGCCUGGGGAGUAUGGUCGCAAGAUUAAAACCCGAAUUGAUGGGGACCCGCACAAGCGGUGGAUGAUGUGAUUAAUUCGAUGCAACGCGAAAAACCUUACCUACCCUUGACAUGUUCCGGGAAUCCGGAAGAGAUUUGGGAGUGCUCGCAAGAGAACCGAACACAGGUGCUGGGAUGGCUGUCGUCAGCUCGUGUCGUGAGAUGUUGGUUAAGUCCUGUAAAUCGAGCGCAAAUCCUGUCAUUAGUUGCUACGAAAGGGCACUUCAAUGAGACCGCUGGUGACAAACCGGAGGAAGGUGGAGACGUCAAGUCCUCAUGGCUCCGGUGGUAGGGCUGGCGCACGUCAUACAAUGGUCGGGAGAGGGUCGCCAACCCGCGAGGGGGAGCCAACUUGCGAAACCCGAUCGUAGUCCGGAUCGCAGUCUGCAACCUGACUGCGGAAGUCGGAACGCUAGUAAUCGCGGAUCAGCAUGUCGCGUGAAUACGUUCCUGGGUCUUGUACACACCGCCCGUCAUCACACCAUGGAGUGGGUUUUACCAGAAGUAGUUAGCCUAACCGUAUGGAGGGCGAUUACCACGGUAGGAUUCAUGACUGGGGUGAAGUCGUAACAAGGUAA